rnacentral:rRNA from 1 species
UACGUAGGGCGCAAGCGUUGUCCGGAAUUAUUGGGCGUAAAGAGCUCGUAGGCGGCCUGUUGCGUCCGCUGUGAAAUCCCGGGGGCUUAACCCCGGGCGUGCAGUGGAUACGGGCAGGCUGGAGGCAGGCAGGGGAGAACGGAAUUCCCGGUGUAGCGGUGAAAUGCGCAGAUAUCGGGAGGAACACCGGUGGCGAAGGCGGUUCUCUGGGCCUGUACUGACGCUGAGGAGCGAAAGCGUGGGGAGCGAACAGG